GCCAGGUGCAGUGGCACACACCUGUAAUCCAAGUGGCUCAGGAGGCUGAGGCAGGAGAAUCAUGAGUUCAAAGCCAGCCUCAGCAACAGUGAGGUGCUAAGCAACUCAGUGAGACCCUGUCUCUA
rnacentral:sRNA from 1 species